GCUACAAGGGGUAGCACGCAUUUUUAUCUGUCUCUUGUCAAAGCUUGUUUCACCAGCAUUCACCACUUCACCUCUUUAUGACUCUUAACAGCCCUUACCGUUUGUUUUAACUGUUCUGUUUUUGUUACCAACCUCGACCCUCUGCAAAUCCCAAAUUUUAUUUAAUUUGCUUUGCGGGAUUGACUGUUUUGACAAAGACACAUCUUGUCCUAACGUUCAAAAUGCAGAGUUGAUAAAACAUUGGACAACAUAUGAAGGGAUUGUUCUUUAUGUUGCCUGUCUUGUUUUUCUAUUUGUUUCUUUUACUGUUCGCAAAAAGUCAAGCACAGCUUUCCACUCCAUGCCUCCAUUUGCUUCUCAUCAUUAGAAGAUGAAGGGGUGGUACUACAGAGAGCUGGGCCUUCUACUUUGUGGUCAUUAGCUGCUGGGGAUGUGAUCGAGGCAAUUAAUUCCAGUCAUCUUUAAAGCCAGUACCGUUUUUUUCUUGAAACUGCUGUUUCUUGAUUCUGAUGUUAUUGCUGACCCUGUUACUAUCCACCUCUCUCUUUCCUUCUCUGCCUUCCCAGCUUCUCAGAACAGAAAGCCCUUGAGUGACACCUAUUUCCAUAAGUGCAACAACUGGGCUUUCUGUCCUGCACCAUCAGUUGUAAUGGUUUCCCUUUUUGCAUCCACGAUGGGGUGCAGCUCUGGUAUGGUUUAAUGGUUUCCAGAGGUCAUCAGGACCUGCAUGUCUAUGCAGACACUAGCUGGCUGCAUAUUGAUUUUGCUUACUCAGCUCGGCACUCAAAGUCUGCCUGUACUACUUGCAAAUAUGACGACGAACCAAAAGUCAAUAUUACCAGCAAUUUCUCAGGCUGUGAUUCCACUGUGUUCCACCGUCGCAUAUAUUGCAGCAAGAAGUUGCUUGUAGGUGUGUAUGGUGCAUCAAAAGUAGCCUGUUACCUCGGUUCAUGUUCUUUCUUGAAGAUCAGGCAUGCUAUGGAAACCACAAUAUUCUAUACACAAGCCAGAGCUUCUUUCAUGUCUUCUUUUGAGGACAUUCUGUAAAAAAUUCACUUUUUAAUAGGUAUGUCACUUUUCUCGUUGACCUUUCAAGAUAUGAGACAAGGUGACAGAAAAUUUUGACAUACUUAUCUCACGUUCUUUUCUCUCUUUCUUUCUCUGUCUGUCUCUCUCUCUUCUUUAAGUCCACCCCUAUCCUGAAUAAACUUUUCAACAUUAACAUAA